AAACUUGCGCGCCACUCUACUAAACAACUUACUUACAGGCCGGCGAAUGAGCAUACUGCAGCCAACGCAGCAUCGCCAUGAACAGCACAAACACCACCGUCCAAGGCGGCGGCAGAGCUCACGUCCUGCUCCUGCCGUUCCCGGGGAUGCAGGGCCACGCCAACCCGAUGCUCCAGCUCGGCCACCGGCUGGCCUACCACGGCCUCAGCCCCACCCUCGUCGUCUCGCGCCACGUCCUCUCCACCACCACCGCCUCCAUGUCGUGCCCCUUCCCUGUGGCCGCCAUCUCGGAUGGUUUCGACGACGGCGGGAUCGCCUCGUGCCCGGACACUGCCGAGUACGUGCGUCGGAUGGAGGCCGCGGGGUCGGAGACGCUGGCUCGGCUCAUCGAGGCCGAGGCGCGUGCGGGGCGGCCCGUCAGGGUGCUGGUGUACGAUUCGCACCUGCCGUGGGCGCGGCGCGUGGCGCGGGACGUGGGCGUGGCCGCGGCCGCGUUCAUGACGCAGCUGUGCGCCGUGGACCUGAUCUACGGUGAGGUGUGGGCGGGACGAGUAAGCCUCCCGUUGACGGACGGGAGCGCGUUGUGUGGUUGGCUCGGCGUGGAGCUGGGGCCCGAGGACAUGCCGCCGUUCAUGACGGCGCCGGAGUGGUACCCGGCGUUCACGGAGUCUGCGCUGAGCCAGUUCGACGGGCUGGAGGACGCCAAUGACGUGCUCGUCAACUCCUUCCGAGACCUCGAGCCAAAGGAGGCAGAUUACUUGGAGUCAACAUGGCGUGCAAAGACGAUCGGCCCGACCUUGCCGUCGUUCUACCUCGACGACGGCCGGCUGCCAUCCAACAGGACGUACGGUUUCAACCUCUUCUCAAGCACUGCUCCGUGCAUGGCGUGGCUUGACAAACAGGCGCCUUGCUCUGUUGUCCUCGCGUCCUAUGGCACCGUCGCCAACCUUGACACGGCGCAGCUGGAGGAGCUUGGAAGCGGAUUGUGCAACUCCGGCAAGCCAUUCCUGUGGGUGUUGAGGUCCAGCGAGGCAGAAAAGAUGUCUGAAGAACUCUGUAGCAUGUGCCAGGAGAGAGGCCUAAUUGUUCCAUUUUGCCCUCAGCUUGAGGUGCUUGUACAUAAGGCCACAGGUUGUUUUCUGAGUCAUUGCGGAUGGAACUCGACAACUGAAGCCAUUGUUACCGGUGUGCCGAUGGUGGCGAUGCCGCAGUGGGCGGACCAGCCAACCACGGCAAAGUAUGUGGAGAGCGCAUGGGAGAUUGGCUUGCGCAUGCGUAAAGGCUUGGUGAAGAGGGAGGAUGUGGACAGGUGCAUAAGGGAGGUCAUGGACGGGGAGAGGAAGGAGGAGUACAGGAGGAAUGCUGCUUUGUGGAUGCAGAAGGCGAAGGAGGCCAUGCAAGAAGGAGGGAGUUCUGACAAGAACAUUGCUGAAUUUGCAGCCAAGUAUUUAUCAGAUUAAAAGUCUAGUUUUCUCAGCUAGUAACAGUUUCUCUUGAAUAUUUAAUAGAAUUGUAGAUAUCAGGUUCUGAAUCUAACAAGGGUUAUAUUGGUCAAGCUGUGGAGGGAUCUACACAUCAUGGCCAUCACCACAACUCAAGGACUAGCUGUCUUGUAAGAAGGGGUGAAGCCGUUAUGCACUGAAAUAUUGUUUAUGAACACAAACAGUAGUUACGGUGUUGUAGCACCAGUGGUACUGUAGCAACACGCAUUACCAUAGCAUCGCACUUGCUAUAGCAGCAGGUUAGAGAUGAGAUUAGUUGUUGUGGAAAUAAGAGCUAUUAGUUAGUCUUAGAGAUAACAU